UUAAAUGGGAGGUAAUAUUUAACAGAUUUUUUCAGGUUAAUAAUAAUGAAGAAAUGCAUGUGAAAUUACAGAAAUCGUUGGUCAUUGGGUUUUCUUUAAAAUUGUGAUUUUAUGUUUUUUAAACUAAUUAGUAGUAUUUGUACAGACACAAAAGUAAUUUAUUAUUGGGAAUAAACAGCAGAAAGGAUGCACCCAUGCUUCCCCUGGCAGGACAGAAAUAUCUAUAUGGUCCAGUGCCUCUUUAAUGACUUCAAUGCAUGUAUUGUCACCAAGCCUGCCUCACGUUUAAAAAAAAUAGUCAAGAGUCUAAACUUUAUGUAACACCUUUUAUUCCAUAUUACAAAAACAUUGGGCCAGUAUCAAAAGUGCUGUGUUGAAAUUUUUAAAACAGACAAUGGUCUGUUAAUUACUGUGUUAACAGCUCUAAAACAAAAAAAAUGCCAACAUAAUAGUCAAUAGCCAACUGUCUUUCUAUGAGUCUGUGACCUUCAUGAACUUCAGGGGACUCUGGGGCUCUUGACUUCUGGAUCUCUUCUAGACAAACCGAUGCUACCAUGCACAUUAUCCUCCUUGGAGAUAGAGAACAUACAUUUAUUGAGACAUGGUUGAGGUGUAUUUGUCUUCACAAGAAUGGAUGGUGGAUACAAGUUCUAUUCAUCAUUGCCCAUUAAACAGAACUUUGUUAUGUUUUAGUACAAUAUAUAGUUGAGUUGUACUUGUUUACUUAGAGUUGUUUAACUGUAAAUGUAAGCACCUAUUGUAAGUAAGGAAAGAAACUGUUCUUAUGACGUGAGGUUUUGGUCUUGAUGGACCGCAGUCUUCUGUGUGUCCAGGGUGGGAGGGGUCGGCCACAAUCUUCCUCGCUCGCCUCAGGGUCCUCGAGCUGUGCAGGUUCUUGAGGGUAGGCAUAUUGCAGCCGAUCACCUUCUCAGCAGUGCAGAUGAUACGCUGCUGCCACUGCCAAGGACAAGAGCAGACUGCAGCGUAUCAUCCGAUGGAUGAUCUGAUCAUAACAGAUCAGUGAUGGAAGAGGUGAGGAUGGACUCAAUGAUGGCUGUGUAGAAUGCACCAUAGUUGUCUUUGGCAAGUUUAAUUUCUUCCGCUGCCGCAUGAAGUAAAUCCUCUGUUGUGCUUUCUUGGUGAGGGAGCUGAUGUUCAGUUCCCACUUGAGGUCCUGGGAGAGGAUAGUGCCCAGGAAGCGGAAGGACUCCACAGGGUUUACUGGGGCUGUAUUCUUAGUAGUCCACAAACAUCUCCACUGUCUUAAGAGCAUUAGCUCUUGGUUGUUCUGGCUACACAAGGUCACCAGGUUAUUUUAACUACUGAUAGUGGUAGGUUAUCUUGCUAACACAUAUCCAAAAAUGCACAGUGUCCAAAACACUAAGAACAUUAUUCUAGUUUUCUAAUACUUUACCAUUGUGUUGGCCGGUAGGAUUUGUAACGCAAAUAGGCCUAAUGUCAGUUUUCUGGUCAUUUCCACAAAAUUAUGCAUAAAGUAACUCUGCGAUUGGGGCCACUAUAAAAUGCAUUCUGAGUAAAACCUUUCACUUUGGCACCAACCUUUUAGUCCAGCAUAUGAUCUGGACAAGUCAUGGGAUAAAGCCCCAGUUUAUAAAAAAGUAACUUAUUUGUUGCACAAAUUUACCCUGUAACCAACACAGAAAUGUAUGAUAUGACUUGUGCUUGGUUUGGAAAGAUGUACAUUUUUUCGAACAUAUAGGGGUACAAAUGCAAUAAGAAAGAUGUCAGUGUGUGACCCAUGGUGUGACCAAAUUUAUGUUGGGGGAUGGGAUGACUACUGCCUCAGGGCUGUCAAGGAAUUUCCUAGGAGAUUAGAAACAGUAAGUCUAUUGUUAUUAAUGCUAGUAAACAGAAAACUCUGUGAAAUCAACAAUGAACUGUCCAAUAUAAUAAUUGGACAGUAAAUUGGACAGUAAAAAUAUUUAUCUCGGAGACAACAUUGAAUGUUGAUUUUUGAAUGAGGAAGGUUCACACAUGCGCAGUGGUUGUAGCAGUAGCACUUUGCUUCUCCCAACUGUCACUGCCGCACAUGGCGCGAAAACCGGAGAAGAAUGGAGGUUUCAGCUGCUCCAGAAGUUAUAGGAUUCAGGAAUUAUACUGACUGAAGAAGAGACAAAGAGAUUCAGAGAUUUACAUUUUCUCACACUCUACAUUGUCACCUGGAGUCAGCUCUGUAACCGUGGCCCCAAGUUUUUGUGAUUUACAUUUUCUCACACUACAUUGUCACCUGGAGUCAGCUCUGUAACCGUGGGCCCAAGUUUUUGUGAUUUACAUUUUCUCACACUACAUUGUCACCUGGAGUCAGCUCUGUAACCGUGGGCCCAAGUUUUUGUGGAAAUGGCUGAGACCGAUUUCCUCAGUGCCAUGGAGAGAACGACAGUGGGGAUCUAUGUUGUGAAAGACACUGCCAGCAGUGAACCCUCUGAUGUCAGGAUAGUCCUCGAAGGUGUGAUGGUGCUUCAAGAUCUUGAGAAUGUAGCACUUGCUUCUGCAAUGUUGUUUGGGCUCUUAUGCCUUGAACAUGCAGCACCCUACAAAGCUCCGCUACACCUUUGAGGCAUUUCAAAAGAUCAUCAUGGAGCCUCAGCAUCAGACACUUAAUAAUAUGAGCCUGUCAGCUGCAAAAACAGAACUUUUAGUGACACUAACUGACCAUGCACAGUUGCCCUAUAUAACGUUGCAGCCCGGUUCACAGCAAUCUUGCUCAAUGCUGGACCAAUUUUCAUGAAUUAACCACUAGAUAGCCUAAAUUUAUAUUGAUUGGCUGUAAAUGUAGCUGUUUUUUAAGUAUGCUUGUUUUUCCACUGUCCAAUUAACAUUUUUAUAUCUAUAAUUUCUUUAAAUUGACUGAUUAAUACUGUAAAUGUGCUGACAUUCCUUUUUGAUUAAAAGUACAUAUUCAGUA